rnacentral:lncRNA from 1 species
GCAUGGUCUGCUGGCCCCUUUUGGCUACAAAAUCUCCUCAGCUAGCCUUACCUUUGCCUAAUCUCCAUCAGAGAUUCCUUUCGCUAUUCCUUCUCUGUAAGGAAGAGGAAGAAGGGUUGCAAAUGUAGCUAAGUUUCAUACAUCCCCUCAGAGACCGGGCCAGGACUAGAGAGACCCUGCCUAGUGCUGCCAGACUGGAUUUCUCCUCUGCUGGUACACAGUGACCCCUGCUGUGUGGACAUGAGGGGUAGGGCUUGGGGGAUGAGGAGAAGAGAAAGAGGAGGAAGAGGGAGAUGGGGACUGUGCACAGAGCCAUGAAGAACCAUUUUUCUCUUCUGUUAGCUCGCUGAACUUGAGACCCAUGAGCGAUUCCUGUUUAGUACGGAAACAGAAGUGAGUGCCACCAUGUCCCCACUUUCUUGCAUCUACUCGUCUCAGUUCUCCACUUAAGCAAGCCCAGUUGUGCUGAAAGCAAGGACACCUGGGACUGCCUCACACUGACCCAGAGGACCUGCUGGCCAAGCUGUCGGUUUUCAUGCAGUUGUUUAUCUGGAACAAGGCACCAUGUUCCAGCAAGGGGCCAAGCUGAAGCCCUGCUCUCAAGCUCUGCUCCACUGUGUUCUCCCUGGCCGCCCUGUGGGGGUGUCAGUGGAUUCUGGACUUGACCUUAUCUGGAAACCAAUGGUGACGUUUACCUGGGCUAUCAGAAUAGCAAUUGGCUCUGCUAUGAACUAGGUUAUGUCUUCCCCACUCUAAUCCACAAGAUGCAAUGUUCAGUUCCCACGGGAGUGUAAUUGAGCUGGACCUCUCUGGGGAGCAGGGGGGGGGGGGAUGACUGGGAUCAAAAGAGCUCAAAGCAUCAUGGGCCACAUCCCAUUGUGCUGCUGGCCUUAGGAGAAGGGAAGAGAAAUGUCUUUGAUUCCUCCACGAUCUGGGAAGAGGUCAGGUGACUCUCCAUCUCCAAAGGAGGAAGAGCCUCACCAGGCAUCAGGUAAGCCAGCAUCUUCAGCUUGGACUUCCAGCCUCCGAGGCUGUGAGGAACAGAUUCCUGUCAAGUCUUUGAGCUACUGUCUUUUGUUACAUCACCUCAGUGUGACUUAUAUAGUCUGCUAAGUCUCUCGAAAGAAGCAAGCAGGGGAAGGCAGUGGUAGUGAGCGGCUAUCGGUGGUGCAAAUGUGAAUCCCCAUGAUGACAUAUGCCCUGGCCUUUGGAACUCAGGAGGCAUCUGGAGCCAGAAGAUGCUGAGAGGCCAUCUCAGUCAGUGUUCUACUGAGGUGAAGAGACGCCAUGACCACAGCAACUCAUAUAAAAGAAAGCAUUUAACUGGAGGCUUGCUUACCGUUACAGAUAUGCUUAGGCCAUAUCAUCAUGGCAGGAAGCACAAUGACACCCAAGCAGACAUGGUGAUGAGGAAGUAGCGAAGAGUCCUACAUACAGAUCCACAGGCAGCAGAAAGAGAGAGAGAGAGCCACUAGGCCUGACUCAGGCCCUUGAAUCCUCAAAGCCCACCCCCAGUGACACACUUCCUCCAACAAGGCCACAUUUCCAAGCCCUUCCCAAAUAGUGCUGCUCCUGGAUGAUCAAGCAUUCGAACCUGAAAGCCAAAGGGGACCAUUCCUCUCAAACCACCACAGAGGCCAUGUAGGUAAGUUGGGCCCGUACUGACAUGCCUGCUUUAAAGGGUAUGUUCCUGCCAUAGAAAGGCCACAGCUCUAAGGAAUGGGGACUAACUAUUCCCACCUCACACUGGCUACACCAGAAACAAGGCACAGCCUCCUGCUUCUCUGUGACCAACAAUGGGGCUGGAAGCUUUCUGGGAUUAGCAGCCACCUCCCCUAAGACAUGAAUUCCCUGAGUUUUAGGGAACAAACAGAAGGUUAAGCUUGGCUCAUUAUGUUCAUGAUUCCAAAUCCACUGACCCUUUGGAACAUUCUAGUCCCUGAGAGGAAACUGGAAAGAUUUCCGUGAUGGAGACAUCUACAAAGUCUUGCUCCUGUCUGGUUAGCUAAAGGCUCCUACACAGGCAUAGAGUAUUUCCUUUUCCAUCUGGAAGAAUAAAAGGAGAAAUGUUGUUCUCUCUCUCUCUCUCUCUCUCUCUCUCUCUCUCUCUCUCUCUUUCUCUCUCUCUCUCUCUCUCUCUCUCUCGCUUUCUCUCUCCCCCACCCCCAUGCCUACUCCCAAAAUGAACCACGCCAGACACUGCUCCCUUGGGUUCCUCCAAAUCAGAGACCUGAGAUGUGAGAUACUGAUUGGUAACUCUUAGGGGGACCACUCUGCUCCCUUGCUACAGCACUGGCUGCGGUCAGCAGGAGCAUGGGGCACGAGGCCUCUGCAUUCAUGCAGGGCUUGACUGUGUCCUUUUGGUUGGCUACUAAGAGAGAACCCAACAAGCUUGCCUAGCCCGGAGCCCUCCAUGGUAAAGAGGCAUCCCUCUGCUCUAGGCUGAGGCAGCACUUGCUAAGCUGUGGCUCUGCUCCACCUCGGCAGAGCCAUAGUGAUCGCUGCUGGCCCCUGUUCCCUUUGUGGUUUCAGACAUUUAUUUUAAAACCUGACCUUUCCUUUAUCUUUGCUGUCCUAGAAGCAUGGGCACGGGACAUGUUCUCUCCUUGUUUCUGUCUUAGUCUCUCUCUCUCUCUCUCUCUCUCUCUCUCUCUCUCUCUCUCUCUCCAACUCUCAGCAAAACAAGCUAGGUUACCAUUUCCUUUUGGGGGGCAAAUGCCAGGCCUGCAUACUUCUCCUGAGAUGAUUUCACAGGCUAUGCUAAUUAUUUUUUAGGGCAAGCAUAAUAAAACCCAGGUGACUUGCCUCCAGACAUCUUUCUCCUUAUCUUCAUACAGCUCUGAAUCGGUUCCCAACCCGGAUCCCCCUCCAAUCCUCCUCCGCGCGCCCCACCCCCACCCCCAGCCUAGGCAUGGCAGCAAUUACCACGUGCUCUCCGGUUUUCACCAGACAUUCUUUGUCGAAACCCUGCUAGAGCCCACAAAGGUUAAUAUGCUUCUGCUGUACAAAAUGUAGGCGUUAUCUUAUGGGUUGUAAGACAUGCCGGUGACACUUGAAUCUAGACAAUUUACAAGAUCAGCAAAACGGGGGCGGGGGGGGGGGCGUCUCAACUGGCAUCUCUACUAAUGAUGUUCUCCUCAGAGCUUGAACCAGUG